GGAAGGGCAUUUGUCAGACAUGGUGUUUUGUGCCCUCUGCUCCUUGUGGGUAGGGGAAUCUCGCAUUUCACUGGGCCAGCAUCAGUUUUGGUGGCAGGAUAAAUCCAUAGGAAUGUAGCUUGCCUCGGUAAGUAUUAUAGCCUGUGGGAAUACUGCCAGCUGGGACUGAGGACUGCGACGUAAGUCAAGGAUGCUGGCAUAAUGGUUAUAUGCCGCCCGUCUUGAAACACGGACCAAG
rnacentral:rRNA from 1 species